rnacentral:pre_miRNA from 1 species
CAUGUACUCCCUCUGUCCGAAAUUACUUGUCAUCAAAAUGGAUGAAAAUGGAUGUAUUUAGAACUAAAAUACAUUUAGAUACAUCCAUUUCAAUGACAAGUAUUUCCUGACGGAGGGAGUACGUU